rnacentral:ncRNA from 2 species
AAGCUUGCUAUGAAAAAGAGUAGUACACGUUUCACCUGUUUGAAGAGAGUCUGCGGUGCUGGGAGCAGAUAACGGGCAAUGUGGAAUGGACUUUGGAGCAGCUGACCGAACUGGAAAAAAGUAGGCUCAGCCGGAGCAGUCUCCGUUACAAACGUCAGAGUGAUUCCAUUUUAAUGGAAUAAUCAGGGUGGUACCACGGUUCAUUCGUCCCUUUU